CAGCAGCCGCGGGAAUACGAAGGGUGCAAGCGUUACUCGGAAUUACUGGGCGUAAAGCGUGCGUAGGUGGUGGUUUAAGUCCGUUGUGAAAGCCCUGGGCUCAACCUGGGAAUUGCAGUGGAUACUGGGUCACUAGAGUGUGGUAGAGGAUAGUGGAAUUUCCGGUGUAGCAGUGAAAUGCGUAGAGAUCGGAAGGAACAUCUGUGGCGAAGGCGACUAUCUGGGCCAACACUGACACUGAGGCACGAAAGCGUGGGAAGCAAACAGGAUUAGAUACCCCCGUAGUCCCUGUCUCUUAUAC
rnacentral:rRNA from 1 species